GUUUGAUCAUGGCUCAGAUUGAACGCUGGCGGUAUGCUUAACACAUGCAAGUCGAACGGUAGCAGGCCUUCGGGCGCUGACGAGUGGCGGACGGGUGAGUAACGCGUAGGAAUCUGCCUCAUAGUGGGGGACAACGUGGGGAAACUCACGCUAAUACCGCAUACGCCCUACGGGGAAAGCGGGGGAUCUUCGGACCUCGCGCUAUGAGAUGAGCCUGCGUUAGAUUAGCUAGUUGGUAGGGUAAAGGCCUACCAAGGCGACGAUCUAUAGCUGGUCUGAGAGGACGAUCAGCCACACUGGGACUGAGACACGGCCCAGACUCCUACGGGAGGCAGCAGUGGGGAAUAUUGGACAAUGGCGCAAGCCUGAUCCAGCAAUACCGCGUGUGUGAAGAAGGCCUUAGGGUUGUAAAGCACUUUCAAUUGGGAGGAAAACCUAGUCGGUCAAUACCCGGCAGCUUGACAUUACCUUUAGAAGAAGCACCGGCUAACUCCGUGCCAGCAGCCGCGGUAAU
rnacentral:rRNA from 1 species